UUUUAUACUAUCCAACAACUGACUUACAUUACUAUCAAUGGUAUCAAUCAUCCAUUCUUGACAGGAGCACCCCCGCUGGAUUUACCAAGCCGCUAAGUAAGUCAGUCAGUCAGUCAGGCAGGCAGGCAGGCAGGCAGACAGGCAAGCAAGGAAGCAAGGAAGCAAGCAAGGAAGCAAGCAAGCAAGCAGGCAACCAACCAUGCAGGGAUAAAUUAGUUUUCGUACUGCCACCACCUACCAAAAUCCUCAUAGGUUGAUUCGUGAAAUUGCAAAACUCUGUUCUCCUUGAUUGGUUAUCUUGUUGUCGAGGGUCUCAUUUAUAAUCUGGAAACGUCUGUUAUCAAACUUUUCUGAGUAAAUCGAUGAAAAUCAAAAGGAAAUACAACAACCGAAGACUUAAAUAAGGCUCAUCUGUGCUUUCUUCAUCAGCAGUAUUUCAGCACCUUCUUGCAUUUGCAUCUGCAAGGAACCGCAACUGCAUAGAUGCUCGUGUACUGGGCGUACCGAUGGGGAAGAUGCGAGGGAGCUUAUUUUGCAUGCACUUUGCCAUCUGGAAUUUAUGCAUUACCACAGAAGUAAGAGGAGCAGGAAGGUCUUUCACUGUCGGAUGCUGUACAGAGAAUCUACAGGCAUUUGCGUCGUGUAAUUUAAUUUCUGAAAAGAUUUUCUCCCGCCGUGAACCUUUCGAUUUUAUUUACGACAGCUGCUUCUAUUGCUGGAAGUUCCCUGCCGAGCUUAAUGGAGCUUGGACGGUCAGGGCUGACGGGUGAGACCUGAAAGGCUCCUUGACUCACUAUAUUCGUGUACUAUUUUUAUGGUAAAUAAAUAUAUACAAAUAUAAACUCACAUAAACUAUGCAAGUCUUACAAAUAUGUACGAAAUCGAUAGUAUACAUUACACAAAUGCUUAUUUGCUGUCCUGGCAACCGAUAGCAAUACAUACAUACACAGAUCGCUGGAAUUUUAAUUUCGCACCACGAUGUAGUCCCUUAGCUGGUCUAUCGAUCGGAAAGACUGGCAAGUAAUCCUGCAGCAGGUAGAUAUUCUCGAUGGGAAUGUAUGAAUGGAGUAAAGGAAAGUGAAAGAGGAAAAGCCGCAAAUGGUAAUAAAUUACCGGAACAUUGAUACUUCCCAAAAAGCAGAUGACGAGGUGGCUUAUUAAUUUAAAAAGUCUAGAGGAAUGAAAAGUAAAAAAGUAGCUGUUUGGAUUUGAUACCAUAAAGAAUCUGGGCAAUGAAGGAGCUAAUCAAGUGGAACGUUCUGCAAAUAGCACUGAAUAUCUAGGAGAUGUGAUUCCUGUAGCAAUGGAAAGUGGUUGAGCUUUAUGAUUUAUCACACAAGGAAUUCCAUAACCUCAAAACUCAUCGAGCUAAAAUGUUGCUGGCAUGAGUUGGCGAAUAGUAAGCAAAGCUCGUUUAACAAAUUCUCCACAUGUACUGUAUUACUCAUGGUACAGUAGGAGCCCAUCGACGUGAAAGGUCUGUUCGACGUCUGGGAAGCAAAACUAACUUACCGAGAGUGUCAGACAUUGGAUAACGGGACGGCCUAUGUCAUGGAUUUAGAAACAAAGGAUGAGAGAUGGUAUACUUAUUGAGAAAGUAUAGUUCAGGUGAAUAUUCACGCGUGCACCUACACUUCUGGGUGAUUUAAAAUAAUUGACGUAAUCUCAUUUGUCACAAUAUGAAUUUACGGAACACCCAGUAGAAGAUUUAUUCAAACGACUGUAUUGUUAUUGACAAGAAGCAAAGUUCGAAGGAAAAUUAAUUAACUCUUGUUUGACAUGUAUUUGAUUACUUGGAUAUUGGUUUGUACUCAGAAGCAAGUAUGAAAAAGAAUUGCAUUUCAAACUGUUAAUGUCAAUGUGUACCAAUCAGCUAUGUUCCUACAGCGGCUAUUUUACAAUUUUCGAGCAUUGCCUAACAAUUUAUAAUUAAAACAAAUAAUCGCGUAAUUUAAAGAUUCACGAGAUAUUGCCAAUCUGUGUAACUUUUUAACUGUUCUGUACUUAAUUCUAUGUAAUCAUUGUAUAUAAUUAUCAUUUUACACAGUACACUAGUUAUGUAUAAGAGGCUCAUAAUAAUCGUCAUGUCUUUAAUGCGUUCUUGCACGAUAUAGGGCAUUUUGAGUAAUUCGUUGUUCUUAUUUCUAUUUCACCAGAAUAAUGGUCUAGCAAGUAUUGCGGUUUAUCGAUCAACUGUAAUACGUUCUAAGAAAAGUAAUGUCAUAGCGCGAGCGUGCUACGAAGUUUCUAUGAAUUUCUGGCAGGUCGGUGCGCUUUGCCGAGAAAUAACAAAAUGGUACAUUCGCUUGGUAUUUUGUCACUUUCGAAGUUAGUCGUGUACAGUAGUGCAGAAGCCAUUUAGAUUUGCUAAUGUCGCUUGGUAAAAAAUAUCUCGACAAUUGAAUCACGUGACGGCCUUGUAUAGCAAUAC